rnacentral:tRNA from 1 species
GGGGUCGUGGGGUAGCCUGGUCUAUCCUGCCGGCUUCGGGAGCCGGUGACUUGGGUUCAAAUCCCAGCGACCCCA